ACUUGUCCUGCUGGAGGCAGCCUAAGGGAGAGGCUUCAGAACCAGAUGGUCUUGGGUUUAAAUUGGGGGCUAACAAUCAACUGAGUUCACGGGCUAUUUGCUUGAUGUUACUAAAGCUGCCAAAACCCCAUAGUGAGAGCCAAAAGUGCCCGGAGCUCUAGCUUGGUCUACCAAGAACACAGGAGCUGUCUGAUUUCUUCUUUUCUCUCAGUGUGCCCAGUUCCACCUUAAAAGACAAUUCACAGAGCAAUGUUUCUCUUCUGUCCACACGAAGAAAACAACAACCACACACACACACACACACACACACACACACACACACACACACACACGGCACCAUACCACACACUCCCUACAACACAGCAGCUCUCAGACUCUAUGCAGGAAGCUAUGAUGUAGACAGGUCCUGGUAAGACAGCACUGGCAGUGAUUUCUUGAUGUAUCUAGUGGCCACGAGACAAUCGUUUCAUCGGUUGAAAUCAGCCCCAUUUCUGCUUUGGGGGUGUUUGUUAACACGACGUUCCCUCUAAAGACAAGCAAGUGAACACAGUGCACAGAGCAGGGUUGAAUGCUAAACGUCUGGCUUUGCUUAUCUGUACACUAAUGUAUGCAGCGAUUCAGCAGUGAGUACUUGGCACGAGGCCAACAGGGCCUGUUGAAAGGCCGGACACUAGGGUACUGACAACACUGGCCACUUAAGACAAGAUUCCAGAAAGUUUGGGCACCCCACCUUUCUACAGGUCACUACACCUGGCCUUUGCUACAUGAGACGAGUGGCAGUUACAUCCAAGGCUGCCUCCUGCUCUGCCUCAGUGGGACUCAGUUAACAGGUCUCAUUAUGUCCUAUUACUAACAGGCACCUGGCGGAUCAGUACUAAUCUAUGACCCGGGGCUCCUCCCCAAACAUCUGAAAUGGAUCCCCCACUCCUGGGAUGGCUCUGUUGGCUUGACUUUUCCAGGUUGGGUUGGAUACUUUUCUCUGGAUGUGUGGAAAGGCACUAAAAGCAUUUGCCUGGAUACAGCCCAAACCAAGGAUAAAUAAGCGCUCCUGGAGGAAUGCAUUUCCUCUCUGUAUACCCCAAGGAUGGUCUACUUACAGAACGGUGCAGGUAAGACCUCCAAGGAACAGUCAUUUGCUUUUACACUUAAAAUAUCCGUGCACAUCAUUUCCAGGAAGUUAGUUUUCCCACAGCCUCUUUCCCAAUCCUUUAAAGGUCUCUCUCCUAAGGAUGUCUCCCAAGAGACAAGGAAAUGUCUCUCUUUCCCAAGAUACUCACCCAUGGGUGGAUCUAAGAUGGCUCUGCCCCACCUCUGAUUUCUCCACUCUAUUUGCCUUUGGGAAGCUCAAAUUUAAA
rnacentral:lncRNA from 1 species